CUACGUUCUCAGGGCGGGGUGCAAGUCCCCACCGGCGGUAAUGGCACUAGCCUAGCCCGCGAGCGCCUGACCUGUGGUCAGGGACAGCAGACCCGGUGUGAUUCCGGGGCCGACGGUAUAGUCCGGAUAAAGAGAGAACGGGA
rnacentral:ncRNA from 2 species